rnacentral:rRNA from 1 species
AACGAACGCUGGCGGCAUGCCUAACACAUGCAAGUCGAACGAGACCUUCGGGUCUAGUUGCGCACGGGUGCGUAACGCGUGGGAACCUGCCCUUAGGUUCGGAAUAACUCCCCGAAAGGGGUGCUAAUAACGGAUAAUGUCUUCGGACCAAAGAUUUAUCGCCUUUGGAUGGGCCCGCGUUGGAUUAGCUAGUUGGUAGGGUAAAAGCCUACCAAGGCGACGAUCCAUAGCUGGUCUGAGAGGAUGAUCAGCCACACUGGGACUGAGACACGGCCCAGACUCCUACGGGAGGCAGCAGUGGGGAAUAUUGGACAAUGGGCGAAAGCCUGAUCCAGCAAUGCCGCGUGAGUGAUGAAGGCCUUAGGGUUGUAAAGCUCUUUUACCCGGGAUGAUAAUGACAGUACCGGGAGAAUAAGCUCCGGCUAACUCCGUG